rnacentral:rRNA from 1 species
UACGUAGGGGGCGAGCGUUGUCCGGAUUUACUGGGCGUAAAGAGCGUGUAGGCGGCCGCACAGGUCCGUUGUGAAAACUGGAGGCUUAACCUUCAGACGUCGAUGGAAACCGUGCGGCUAGAGUCCGGAAGAGGAGAAUGGAAUUCCUGGUGUAGCGGUGAAAUGCGCAGAUAUCAGGAAGAACACCCGUGGCUAAGGCGGUUCUCUAGUACGGUACUGACGCUGAGACGCGAAAGCGUGGGGAGCGAACAGG